GUGCAUAUAAUCAUUGAUCGGGUUAUCUCUCAUAGCAACAUUAGCAAUGUCAACACUCUGAAUAAGAUCCGCUAUGUCUACCAUUAUUUGCUGGUUUGCCGGAUAUUCUGUUUCAUACAAAUCAUAUAUCUUCAAUAUGAAUUGUGCUGAUCUUUUAGGUCCCCAAAAACAAGGAUGGUUAAACACCAUUAACCAUCUGCACCUGCACAUAUCAUUAGACAAAAAAGGAGGGAAAUGCUUCCAUCCAAACAAUAACAUGAUGAAAAUUACACAAACAAACAGUAGGAUGAUGAAAAUGGGACAAACAAACAGUAAUAUAAUAAAAAUACCUCAAGCCAAGUACGCCAUCAUCAUUGAUUAAUUUCAGCACGUGCUUCAAAUAUGCAUCGAAAUGAUUCUGAAUGAUCCCUUGACUACCAAACAAGUGUUGGAUUAUACGGCUCAAACUAAUUAGUUCACUCGACCACUCAUCUUUGACCCGCUGAUAACCAUUUUCAGGAUGCAAAGUUACAGAAGCUAU
rnacentral:lncRNA from 1 species